ensembl:lncRNA
CAAACAUAUCCUGGGUGUAGUCAGGAGGUGAAGAGACAACAGCCUUGGUGGAGACAGGAGGUGGAGCAAAGAUGUCCUUGGGGGAGUCAGGAGGUGGAGCAACGAUGUCCUUGGUGGAGUCAGGAGGUGGAGCAAUGGUGUCAGUGGCAGAAUCAGGAGGUGUAGUUAUAAUGUCCUUGGCAGAGUCAGGAGGUGUAGAUAUGAUGUCAGGAGGUGUAGUUAUAAUGUCCUUGAUGGAGUCAGGAGGUGUAGUUAUAAUGUCCUUGUUGUAGUCAGGAGGUGUAGUUAUAAUGUCCUUGGGGGAGUCAGGAGGUGUAGUUAUAAUGUCCUUGAUGGAGUCAGGAGGUGUAGUUAUAAUGUCCUUGGGGGAG